CUUGUGAUUGGUCGUGAAAAGUCAUCAAUAAUACGAGCAGUGUGCUGGAACUUGCGCAGUUUUCACUGGGAAUUGCGAUGUGGACUGGAAAGUAAUCAAUGCCGCACGUGAUGCCCUGAAAGAAGCGUUCGUCUAUAUCGUGUAAAGACGUCUAACCCUCUGGUGUUUAUGGCGAUACAAUGCCACCCUCUGUUGGCCUCCCAAUGUCAUAUUGCAAGCAACGUAUAUUCCCUGAUUUCACUACUUUGCCUUCCUGGUCCUCCGGCGGAUGGAUCAAUCAAAGUUUUAUUAAAAACAACAACAACGGAUGCCUGCCCUGCAAUCACUGGUGAAAUCGCUGAUGUCUCAGCAGGUGGAAUUACUGACUAAAUCCCUUUCCCACAAAGGGAGCAGCCAAAUGUUUAUAACCCAAUGGUUUCCAAGUCCUGAUGAACUGACUUGCUUUCAGAUCUUGAUGGGAUAUUUAUUUGGAAUUCUUGGCAAUAAGUCAUCACUCAACAUAAUGUCCCAAGUUCUAUAUCCAAACGUCUGAGCAAUGAAGGCAAGUGUACCAAACACCUUCUUACCCAGCUGGUCUACAUGUGUUGCAAACCUCAAAGAAUUAUGAGCCUGAAGCCCGAGGUCUCUCUGUUCUACACUACCCAAGGCCCGACUCUUAGUUGUGGAAUUGGGAAGGGAGAAUUUACAGACAGGCAGCUCAACUCAAACAUUAGAUCAAGAGCUGCCAGUAACACUCAAUUCUCAAGAGCUUUGAACAUGGAAGGAAAAAACAUCAUUCACAGUGAAGAGAAAGCAGACACGUGGGCUGUGUGGACAAGCCUUCAGUCAAUCAUCCAGCCUGUCGAGACAGGGCGAUAAUAAUGAAAUCAAGCAGCACUUCCCUUGCAAUAUCAUGGUCAUGGAUCUCGGGAUUUCGCUUCUGCACUCUCCUGUACUCCUAAUCCUACUUCACCCUGGUUGGAUAACACUGAAUACAGAGGAGGAUGCUCGUGAUUGUUGGAGGCCAACCACGCCAGCUGCAGGAGUUCCUCAGGGUUGGCUUGUAGCCCCAGCCACCUUCAGCUGUUUCAUCAAUGACCUUCCCUGCAUUAUAAUGUCAGAAGUGGGAAUAUUUGCUGAUGAUUGCACAAUGAUUAGUACCAUUUGUGCCUCCUCGGAUACUGAAGCUGUAGAUAUCUAAAUGCAGCAUACCUGCAUUUGUACCAACAAGUAUCAACAAAUAAUGACCAAAUCUGAGACAUCAAAAUAUAACCAUAACCCAUUGACAUUCAAUGGUUUUAUCUUUACUGAAUUCCCCACUAUCAUCAUUCUCGGUGCUAAUAUUGACGAGAAACUGAAUUAGACCUGUCAUCUCAAUACUGUGCCUACAAAAGAAGGUCAGUGGAAUGAGAUCCUAUGGUGAUUAUUUCAACUCAUGACUCCCCAAAGCCUGUGCAUCAUCAGGAGUGUAACAGAACACUCUCCAUUUGCUUGGAUGGAUGCAGCUCCAACAACACUCAAGAAACCUGCCACCAUUCAGAUCGAUGCAGUCCACCUAAAUGGUGCCCCAUUCAGUGCCUCCAGCAAUUAAUUCCUUCACCACUGAGGUAUAGUGGCAGCAGAGUGCACCAUCUACAAGAUGUUACUCACCUGCGCUCCUUUGACAGCACUUUCCAAGGAUGCAAACUACCACCUGUAAGGAGAAGAGCAGAGAAUGCAUUGGAACACCGUCAAUGCGCAUACCAUCCUGACUUGGAGGGGUUUCAGCAAUGAUCUCCAUUUAAGGUUUUGGAGUAGAUUUGUAGUUCGGUUUGUGGGUGUUGAGGUUGCUUGGCUCACCAAGCUGGUUUGUUGUUCUGCAGACAUUUUGUUAUCAUGCUGGCUAACAGUGAUCUCAUUGAGUGAUGCAACAGACCUGAUGAGCCAAAAUGCCACUUUCUGCCCUUCAUCUUUUACGAUGAUGUGUUUUUUUUAAAGUUGAUUAAUGCAGUGACCAGACUUGUAGUGAGUCCUCUAGCUGUUCUUUAAACUGGUGUUUGCUAAGGCUGUAGCAUUAUCUCCCUGACCUUGUAUUCCAGACUGUGGUCAAGAACAGAAAGGAUCCCAAAACAUUGUUGACCACCUGAUCUCCCCACCCAACCACCUUUGGGGAUCUGUGAAUAUCCACUUCGAGGUCUCGUUCUUCCUCUUCACCACUCAGUAUCAUUGUUCACCCUCCAUUAAUUCCUUAUUAUUCACUUCUCUGGGUUGAAUUCCAUUCUUCAUGAACAACGACAUGGCCAAUUGUUGCACAUCAUCUGCAAACUUCUAAAUUCUGCCUCCUUCACGUGGCUUUUAUCAUUAUCUACAUCAGAAAAUAAUGGGGAAAAAAAUUCUGAAGAGGAGUCUAGACCCGAAACUUCAGCUUUCCUGCUCCUUUGAUGCUGCCUGGCCUGCUGUGUUCAUCCAGCUCUACACCUUUGUUAUAUCAGGCUUACAUUCAAGAUGCUAUUCGGUGAAUUUAAACUCCAGCAGCUGCUGUGUCUUAGUCCCUGGGGAUUACAAGGAGCUAAAUCACUGUAACACUGCUAUCUUCCUGCUGCAUUGCUCCAUCUUACGGAACAACUAUCACUGUUCAGAUCAUCCCACAGUGAGAGAGAACAGGGGAGGCCAUUUGCAUGAUCAUGCCAGUUCCUGGUAAGAAAGAGAUUGAGUGAAACAGAAAAGAAUUGGCUAGUGCGUGUUUACAGCAUUUACUGUGUGCGUCCGUGUCGCAAUAAACAUGGUUUACCACA